rnacentral:rRNA from 1 species
AUUGAACGCUGGCGGCAGGCCUAACACAUGCAAGUCGAGCGGAUGAGGAAAGCUUGCUUUUCGAUUCAGCGGCGGACGGGUGAGUAAUGCCUAGGAAUCUGCCUGUUAGUGGGGGAUAACUCGGGGAAACUCGGGCUAAUACCGCAUACGUCCUACGGGAGAAAGUGGGGGAUCUUCGGACCUCACGCUAACAGAUGAGCCUAGGUCGGAUUAGCUAGUAGGUGAGGUAAUGGCUCACCUAGGCGACGAUCCGUAACUGGUCUGAGAGGAUGAUCAGUCAAACUGGAACUGAGACACGGUCCAGACUCCUACGGGAGGCAGCAGUGGGGAAUAUUGGACAAUGGGCGAAAGCCUGAUCCAGCCAUGCCGCGUGUGUGAAGAAGGUCUUCGGAUUGUAAAGCACUUUGAGUUGGGAGGAAGGGUAUUCACCUAAUACGUGGGUACUUUGACGUUACCAACAGAAUAAGCACCGGCUAACUCUGUGCCAGCCGCCGCAGUAAGAC